rnacentral:rRNA from 1 species
AUUGAACGCUGGCGGCAGGCCUAACACAUGCAAGUCGAGCGAGCGGCGGACGCGUGAGCAAUAUCUGUGCAAAUGCCUCCGGGAGGGGGGUAAAUACUGGCAAAGGUAUCGAUUAUAGCAUACAAUCUCGUGUGCACAGAUGGGAUUAGCUCGAAGGUGGGGUAACGGCUCACCUAGGUGCCGGUCCCUAGCUGGUCUGAGAGGAUAACAAGCCACACUGGAACUGAGACACGGACCAGACUCAUACGGGAGGCAGCAGUGGGGAAUAUUGCACAAUGGGCGCAAGCCUGAUGCAGCCAUGCCGCGUGUGUGAAGAAGGCCUUCGGGUUGUAAAGCACUUUCAGCGGGGAGGCGUUACCCGCAGAAGAAGCACCGGCUAACUCCGUGCCAGCAGCCGCGGUAAUAC